UAGUUGAGCGCUUCCAGCCAACACGGGAGCGCAGCGCACAGCUCAGUAACACGUGGCUAAUCUGCCCUUGGGACCGGAACACCCCCGGGAAACUGGGGCUAAUUCUCGAUAGGUGAAGAACUCUGGAAUGAGUCUUUGCCAAAAAGACGUUUACGUUAUGCUCGUAGGCGUUGCCCAAGGAUGAGGCCGCGACCGAUCAGGUUGUUGGUGAGGUAAUGGCUCACCAAGCCUUUUACCGGUGCGGGCCGUGAGAGCGGGAGCCCGGAGAUGGGCACUGAGACAAGGGCCCAGGCCCUACGGGGCGCAGCAGUCGCGAAAACUUUGCAAUACACGAAAGUGUGACAGGGCUAUCCCGAGUGCCAUCCGCUGAGGAAGGCUUUUACCCAGUCUAGAACGCUGGGGGAAUAAGGAGAGGGCAAGUCUGGUGUCAGCCGCCGCGGUAAUACCAGCUCUCCGAGUGGUGUGGAUGUUUAUUGGGCCUAAAGCAUCCGUAGCUGGCUGAGUAAGUCCCUUGUUAAAUCCACCGAAUUAAUCGUUGGAUUGCGGGGGAUACUGCUCGGCUAGGGGACGAGAGAGGCAGACGGUAUUUCCGGGGUAGGGGUGAAAUCCUAUAAUCCCGGGAAGACCACCAGUGGCGAAGGCUGUCUGCUAGAACGCGCCCGACGGUGAGGGAUGAAAGCUGGGGGAGCGAACCGGAUUAGAUACCCGGGUAGUCCCAGCUGUAAACGAUGCAGGCUAGGUGUUUGGACGGCCACGUGCCGUUCUAGUGCCGCAGGAAAGCUGUUAAGCCUGCCGCCUGGGGAGUACGAUCGCAAGAUUGAAACUUAAAGGAAUUGGCGGGGGAGCACACAAGGGUGAAGCUUGCGGUUU
rnacentral:rRNA from 1 species